GACGAACGCUGGCGGCGUGCCUAAUACAUGCAAGUCGAGCGGAGCGGCGAACGGGUGAGUAACGCGUGAGUAACUGACCCCCUCUCUGGGAUAACAGUUGGAAACGGCUGCUAAUACCGGAUAGUGGGGGAUGCCUCGCGUCUGAUCCGCUUGUUGGUGGGGUAGUGGCCUACCAAGGCGACGACGGGUAGCCGGCCUGCGAGUGCGACCGGCCACAUUGGGCUGAGAGACGGCCCAAACUCCUACGGGGGGCAGGAGUGGGGAAUAUUGCACAAUGGUGGAAACCCUGAUGCAGCAACGCGCGUGCGGGAUGACGGCCUUCGGGUUGUAAACCGCGUUCAGCCAUGACGCGGUAGUGGCAGAAGAAGCACCGGCUAACUACGUGACAGCAGCCGCGGUAAUAC
rnacentral:rRNA from 1 species